GACGAGCGCUGGCGGCGUGCCUAAUACAUGCAAGUCGAGCGGGCCUCCGGAGGUGCUUGCACCUCCGGAAGGCCAGCGGCGGACGGGUGAGUAACACGUGGGCAACCUGCCUUUGAGGCCGGGAUAACACCGGGAAACCGGUGCUAAUACCGGAUGCGUCCCCUUUCGCGCCUGCGAGAGGGGAGAAAGACGGUCUUUAAGGCCGUCGCUCAAAGAGGGGCCCGCGGCGCAUUAGCUGGGUGGUGGGGGAAGGGCCUACCAAGGCGACGAUGCGUUGCCGACCUGAGAGGGUGAUCGGCCACACUGGGACUGAGACACGGCCCAGACUCCUGCGGGAGGCAGCAGUAGGGAAUCAUCCGCAAUGGGCGAAAGCCUGACGGUGCAACGCCGCGUGAGUGAGGAAGGUUUUCGGAUCGUAAAGCUCUGUUGUGAGGGAAGAACAGCUUCCGGAGGAAAUGCCGGAGGUUUGCCGGUACCUCACCAGAAAGCCCCGGCUAACUACGUGCCAGCCGCCGCCGUAA
rnacentral:rRNA from 1 species